GUGUUCACCCAUAAAUUGUCUUCUAGGGUUAGGCUUACGGCGUCGAGCUCGCAACCAAAAUUUGUGCUUCGGUAAUCAUCCAAAUUAUCUUUCACCCUUUUUUGAUUUUGAUGUUGAUAUGGCGAGGCUACAUGUAGGCAUGUACAAAGGGAAGGGUGUGAACUAAAAUCCAGUAUCCUUGAUCUUGAAUGUGCCAUAGCUGUAGCUAAUUCAAAGAUUCAAAAGGGCUUGCAGAUUUCUCGUGACUUGCUAUCAUUUUUAUUUUUGUUUUCCAUGGCUAAUAUUAUGUUUUUAGAUACUUGCCAAGAUGGUACUGAUCAAACAGAAAGAGGAGGUUUGGAAAUUGGAAGGAAAAGAAAGGGUAGAUAUUUAUUUUUAAACAAGAGAAUUACAUAUAAAUUUAACUUAAUUUGUCCCCCUCUUCUAAAAAUCAUCCCUCAUACCCACCAAGUCUCUUAGAAGUGUUCUAAAACAGCAGGUCUUCGAGCUCUGUAGUAUGAAAUGACUAAUUGCCUGAUUGUAUUUGUAUCAGAAAUGUAAUUUUGUUCUUUCACAACGAAUUUUUCCUGAUUGAAAUAUUGCAUGAAUAAUUGAGUUUU